rnacentral:rRNA from 1 species
UACGAAGGGGGACUAGCGUUGUUCGGAAUUACUGGGCGUAAAGCGUGCGCAGGCGGUUUGCUAAGACAGGUGUGAAAUCCCCGGGCUUAACCUGGGAACUGCGCUUGUAACUGGCAAGCUGGAGUGUGGCAGAGGGGGGGUGGAAUUCCGACGUGUAGCAGUGAAAUGCGUAGAGAUGUGGAGGAACACCGAUGGCGAAGGCAGCCCCCCUGGGCUAACACUGACGCUCAUGCACGAAAGCGUGGGGAGCAAACAGG